GACGAACGCUGGCGGCGUGCUUAACACAUGCAAGUCGAACGGAAAGGCCCUGCUUUUGUGGGGUGCUCGAGUGGCGAACGGGUGAGUAACACGUGAGUAACCUGCCCUUGACUUUGGGAUAACUUCAGGAAACUGGGGCUAAUACCGGAUAGGAGCUCCUGCUGCAUGGUGGGGGUUGGAAAGUUUCGGCGGUUGGGGAUGGACUCGCGGCUUAUCAGCUUGUUGGUGGGGUAGUGGCUUACCAAGGGUUUGACGGGUAGCCGGCCUGAGAGGGUGACCGGGGACAAUGGGACUGCGAGACGGCCCAGACUGCAAUGGGGGGCAGCAGUGGGGAGUAUUGCACAGUGGGGGGGAGCCUGAUACAGAGACGCCGGGUGCGGAAAGACGGCCAUCGGGUUGUAAACCGCUGUCGCCUGUUACGAAGCGGGAGUGACGGUAAUAGGUGAAGAAGCACCGGCUAACUACGUG
rnacentral:rRNA from 1 species